rnacentral:rRNA from 1 species
GCGGAGGAUCAUUACCGAGUGAGGGCCCUCUGGGUCCAACCUCCCACCCAUGUUUAUUGUACCUUGUUGCUUCGGCGGGCCCGCCUCACGGCCGCCGGGGGGCUUCUGCCCUCUGGCCCGCGCCCGCCGAAGACACCAUUGAACACUGUCUGAAGAUUGCAGUCUGAGCAAUUAGCUAAAUAAGUUAAAACUUUCAACAACGGAUCUCUUGGUUCCGGCAUCGAUGAAGAACGCAGCGAAAUGCGAUACGUAAUGUGAAUUGCAGAAUUCAGUGAAUCAUCGAGUCUUUGAACGCACAUUGCGCCCCUUGGUAUUCCGGGGGGCAUGCCUGUCCGAGCGUCAUUGCUGCCCUCAAGCACGGCUUGUGUGUUGGGCCCCGUCCUCCUUCCCGGGGGACGGGCCCGAAAGGCAGCGGCGGCACCGCGUCCGGUCCUCGAGCGUAUGGGGCUUUGUCACCCGCUCUUGUAGGCCCGGCCGGCGCUUGCCGACAACCAUCAAUCUUUUUUCAGGUUGACCUCGGAUCAGGUAGGGAUACCCGCUGAACUUAAGCAUAUCAAUAAGCGGAGGAA